rnacentral:lncRNA from 1 species
GGUUUUGAACCCGGAUCAAUAACUCAAAACUAACUCCAGAAAACUCCAGAAAGCAAUUCAAAUAGUGAAUAUUAUGGCAUGGGUACUGAAUCAUCCAUUUUUCUCUCUUCGGUGGGUUAGCUACUAAGCUUCAAAUUUGAGGAAAAAGGAAAAAAAAAAGUCAGUUAAGUGGGCAAUCCACAACCACCAUCUCCAAUCCCAUGGCAUUUCUCAAGGCUUUAUCAAAUCAUUUCAUUUGAUAGCAUUAUUGAAAAGAAAAAAAAACAUGAUGAUAUGAGUCUUGAAAUUAAUUAAGUAUUAAAUAUGCAACUAAAGCGAGAUAUUAUUGAAAUAAUCAAGUAUUAUAUAUGGUAAGUAAAGUGAGCAAAGUAUGAUGACUGUAAAUAAUUUAAUUAUAAAACCGCAAAUACGCAAGUGUGUGGUGAAUCAAACGAAUAGAGGAGCUGAUGAUGAUGAAUAGAGGAACUGCAGUGCUGCAAGCAUGUGACGGUGGUGAACCAAAUGAGUUGCGAGUUGCGACGGUGGGGAACCCAAGCUUUUGACAGUGGCGAACGCCGCGAACCCGACCUUGCGACGACGGCGAACCCAACCUUGCAACGGUGACGAACCCAGGCGAUGGUUGUUUGACUUGCCUGCUAGACAGUAGGGGUGGGCAUUUUCGGGUUCGGGUCGGGUUCGGAUCAACCCGAUCGGAUUUCGGGUUGAUCGGGUUAGAAAAGAAUUCAUCCGAACUCAACCCGAAGUUGUAACCCGAUCCGA